ACGGGAGGCCCAUAUCUGGGCUCACCGGUCCUGCCGUCUUUGUCACAGCCUCUGUCCAGGCCAAUGUGUCUCCAGCUCAGCUUACUCCUUCAUUCAUUUUUUUCAGGAAACAUUCAAGGACCUUCUUCCAAGGGCACAAUACUGAGCAACAUGGACAAGCUCUGGCCCUAUGGUAAAGUCAGGUCUGGAUCAUGGAAUUGAAUGGGGUGUGUUGCCAGGCACCCGCAUGAGGGGCCGGCUCCUCCCCGUGAAUUCUGGGCACAGACACCCAGACCUGAGCAGGCCCCUCACCCCACAGCGACUGGGGAGCGGGAGCCCGAGUCCCUCCCACCUGCUCCCUCGGUUUCUGAGGGUCUGUCUCAUCCUGCAGCUGGGCAGACGUGAUCUUCAGCCCCAUGUUACAGACGCUUAGAGAAGCUGGAGACUUGCACAAUGUCUCAGAGGAAAGAGAGCCAGAACCUGGACCCGUGUGUACCCCGACCAAACCCUUCAUGGUUGAAGGAAUAGGAGUGGGAAGGGGAGGAGGUUCCAUAUGUACCCACACACGGACUUCAAAGAGGCCCCCACAGCAAGACAGCAAAUGACAUCCACAGUCACAGAUCACGGAGUGAUUUCAGGUGAAGAUGGUGCUGGCAGUUUCCCCAUCAGUGCAAUGGAGUUUGAAUAAAGGAUCUCACUGGAGAAGUCGCAGCGACAGUGGGUCUGAGAGCAGAGGGAAAGGACUGUCUGGGCUUUGUGAAGCUCAAUGCUGCCCCCUGGUGCCCAGAAUGCCGCGCCAGCAAUGGGAUGCAGGAAGAAGAGGCAGGAGACACCUGAGGUCUCUCACCUUUUCCAAGCUAUUCAGACCUCCCUCGUACAGGGCAGGGAACACAGGGCACCAGCCCUACUAACCCAAUCUGAGGGGAAACUCUGAGGCUCCCUCUCCUGCAGAGAUCUCAGACUCUGUGGUAGAAUUGGUGUGGGGGGACACGUGACGUCUGCAAUAGCCCUGUCCAUCCUGCACCUGGACACCCCGAGUGGUUCCUUCUAUGGGAGGCAGAGGCAGGGCUGCCCCCUCUGCUGUGCAAUUCCUGGGGUCUUCAUCUGAGUUAAAUUCUUUUAAGUCAGGA
rnacentral:sRNA from 1 species